GAUAUGGCUCAGAACGAACGCUGGCGGCGCGUCUUAAGCAUGCAAGUCGAACGGCAAGAGGUAGCAAUACCUCCUAGAGUGGCGGACUGGUGAGUAACACGUGGGUGACAUACCCUUCAGAUGGGGAUAGCUAUUAGAAAUAGUAGAUAAUACCGAAUACGAGCACAGGGGUUAGAGAUCUGUGAGGAAAGGAGCUAAGGCUCCGCUGAAGGAAUGGCCUGCGGCCCAUUAGCUAGUUGGUGAGGUAAGAGCCCACCAAGGCGAUGAUGGGUAUCCGGCCUUAGAGGGUGAACGGACACAUUGGGACUGAGAUACGGCCCAGACUCCUACGGGAGGCAGCAGCUAAGAAUAUUCCGCAAUGGACGAAAGUCUGACGGAGCGACGCCGCGUGGAUGAAGAAGGCCGGAAGGUUGUAAAAUCCUUUUGAAACUGAAGAAUAAGCGUUGUAGGGAAUGACAGCGCGGUGACAGUAGGUUUUGAAUAAGCAACGGCUAAUUACGUGCCAGCCGCCGC
rnacentral:rRNA from 1 species